CACUCCUGCGGGAGGCAGCAGUGGGGAAUUUUGGACAAUGGGCGAAAGCCUGAUCCAGCAAUGCCGCGUGAGUGAAGAAGGCCUUCGGGUUGUAAAGCUCUUUUGUCAGGGAAGAAACGGUGAGAGCUAAUAUCUCUUGCUAAUGACGGUACCUGAAGAAUAAGCACCGGCUAACUACGUGCCAGCAGCCGCGGUAAUACGUAGGGUGCAAGCGUUAAUCGGAAUUACUGGGCGUAAAGCGUGCGCAGGCGGUUUUGUAAGUCUGAUGUGAAAUCCCCGGGCUCAACCUGGGAAGUGCAUUGGAGACUGCAAGGCUAGAAUCUGGCAGAGGGGGGUAGAAUUCCACGUGUAGCAGUGAAAUGCGUAGAUAUGUGGAGGAACACCGAUGGCGAAGGCAGCCCCCUGGGUCAAGAUUGACGCUCAUGCACGAAAGCGUGGGGAGCAAACAGGAUUAGAUACCCCAGUAGUCCC
rnacentral:rRNA from 1 species